UUUCCGUAGGUGAACCUGCGGAAGGAUCAUUAAUGUGUUUGGGCCUCACGGCUCUUCAUUCCGACGCUGUGCGCCUUCGGGCUGCACGCUGAGGGAGCAUAUAUCCACCCCUGUGCACACACACGGUGGCGAGCUGGGUAACGGCUCGCCGCUGAUCUUUACACACGUCUAAAAGUCAUUGUAUGCUUAUCUGAGAUAAAAACACAACUUUCAGCAACGGAUCUCUUGGCUCUC
rnacentral:misc_RNA from 1 species